rnacentral:rRNA from 1 species
GGCUGAUGCCACGAGGUGACUUCUGCCCAGUGCUCUGACUGUCAACCUGAAGAGAUUCAGCAAAGCUCGGGUAAACGGCGGGAGUAACUAUGACUCUCUUGAGGUAGCCAAAUGCCUCGUCAACCAAUUAUUGACGCGCAUGAAUGGAUCAACGAGAUUCCUGCUGUCCCUGGAUGCUGUCCGGUGAACCAACAGCCAAGGGCACGGGCUUGGAUGCGUCAGCGGGGAAAGAAGACCCUGUUGAGUUUGACUCUAGUCCGAUGUCGUGCAGCGACAUGAUGGGUGUAGCAGAGGUGGGAGGCCAGUGCCACAGCAGAUGCAACAGCAGCGCAGCGACGACAACCACACACUCCUCUCGGCAUGAACCAGCAAUGAAAUACCACUACCAUCACCGUCACUUUGCUCAUUGAGUGGCUUGGGACAGCCCUGUGAUUCAGUGUCUCCCCUCGGGGAACACUCCAGUCGUGACCCAAGACGGCGCCAAGUGUGGUGUCCCUGCGGUGCGCGUGGCUCGGGCCCCAGGGCUCGUGUCGCACGCCCAUGGGGCUGUCUGUGGCGUCUGUGGGACCCAUCCUCUGGAUGCAGUUUGGCUCAUCCGAUUCACGCGUCAAGUGCCCUCGGGCACGCUUACCCACACAGGCUCCGACCUGUAAGCCUCGAGACCGAGAUCAGUUGGGGAGUUUGGCUGGGGCGGCACGCUCGUCACAAGACAACGCAAGCGUCCUGAAGCAGUGCUCAGAUGGAACGGAAAUCUCUCGCGGAGGACAAGGUCAAAGGCCCUGCUGAUGCAGGAUCCCCAGUGCGAAUCCAAAACACGCAAGUGUGGCCUGGCGAUCCUUUGGCUCCCGUUCAAGGGUUCAGGAUACCGAAGCCAGAGGUGUCAGAAAAAUUACCACAGGGAUAACUGGCUUGUGGCUGCCAAGCGCUCAAAGCGACGUGGCUUUUUGAUCCUUCGAUGUCGGCUCUUCCUAGCUUGCCACCUGCAGCCGAGUGCAAGAGUUGGAUUGUUCACCCACC